rnacentral:misc_RNA from 1 species
AAGUCGUAACAAGGUUUCCGUAGGUGAACCUGCGGAAGGAUCAUUAAUACGCUUUUGUUUGUAACAAAACAAAACGUUUUAAACUCCAAAAGAAAUAGUGGAAACAUAACUUCCGGAUGCGAAUGUUUGGGAACUGAGUAAAAUCGGUUCUUUGAAAAAGGGACUUCAAGCAAUUGACACUUUAGAGUAGAGCAGUGAGGUGAAAUUCUCUUUUCGAAGAGAGUUUGGUUCUGAAAAACAUUUGUAUCCGGUUAUCAUAACCUGUUCUACAAAUUCUAUCAAACAAUAAACCCCAUGUAUAACAACUUGAACUAAACAUUUUUUUGUUGUCUCUUCUUGCACUUUUGUGAGAAGAUACUACGAAGAAAAAACCUGAACUUAAGAACAACUCUUAACAACGGAUAUCUUGGUUCUC